UUCACUUAGUUAUAAAAAAACCUAAAUAUGCUCUCCUCCCCUCUUCACUCCCCACCGCCGUAGGUGACAGCAAAACCCAAGGCCACUACGACUCAGUGACGCCGACACCCGAAACCCUUUUAGACUUAGCCUAGUUGAAAAGGUAAGGUUUUACCUUAAAUGAUGAAGAAGGAGCCAAAACCAUCGUCCCUCAAAGAUUUGAUGAUGGUGGUGGCUCUGGAUAUCAAUCGGUGGUGGUUCACGUGGCUGGGGAACCGAACGGUGGAACGCAUGUAUCGCACGCGCUAAUCAGGCAGGUUGUCUUUGCUGGGUGGCGACGGUGGCUGGCUGAUAGGAGCAUUAGGGUGAAAACCCUAAUUUGUAAUCUAUAAUCUGGACGCUUGAUCUCUAUCUCGAUCUGACGGUGGAGAUUAGGUGGCUAUGUUAGAACAUGAUAAAACCCUAAUGUGUUUGGGUUUUCAUCAUUGGGUCCGCUGGACAAAUGUAACGAGCUUGGGGUAUUUGUAUUUUUGGCUUAUAAAUUGGAUCUGUAAAAUACAAAGGAAUAUUAUAUGUUA